rnacentral:lncRNA from 1 species
UUCAUUGGAUAUGUGAAUGAGUGAGUCCAAUAAAGCUCCAGUUGGCAAGAAGCCAGAGAAAGCCAUUGGAGGGGGCAAAGGAAGAGGAGGAGCGGUGUUGCACCUUCUACAGGGUUUUAUGUCCCUAAGUCGUCGUUAACAUCAUGGUGGGUUCUUCUCUUCAUGUUUUUUAUUUAAUUGCUUGAAGCGAAUUCCAUCUUCAGGAUUAAUUUAAUUUCAUAGACUCUUGACUGCUUCUGUUUGUACAGUACGUGACUUAAGGCAACCGGAUCGGUGUUAGGAAGGAGCGGAGGCCUUCCAGGUUGCUGCCACCUGGCGGAAAGUCCGGCCUCGGCGGGUUAGUUAUGAUCACAGUGAGUUUUCUAAACAAGAAAGUUCAAUUUUUAAAGUGUUUCUGGAAUAUGAAUAUGCCUCGUCAAACUCUGGCUUCGGACCUGCGGUUGCUUUGAGAGCUCUCUGGUGAAAUGUUUAUGGAACUGCUCGGAGGGUCGUAUUAGGCACCGUUGCUGGAAUAGCUAAUUCAGUUAUUGACCUCUGCAACUUGAAUCCUUCCAGGUUUAGCGUGCAUCUCCUAAUAUUUAAAUGCAUAUAAUCGGCCAACUAGCGUUUAUUAUAUUGAAGAGCACGCG